rnacentral:rRNA from 1 species
GACGAACGCUGGCGGCGUGCUUAACACAUGCAAGUCGAACGCUGAAGCUGAGAGCUUGCUCUUGGUGGAUGAGUGGCGAACGGGUGAGUAACACGUGAGUAACCUGCCCUUCACUCUGGGAUAAGCGCUGGAAACGGCGUCUAAUACUGGAUAUGACCUGUUACCGCAUGGUGGUGGGUGGAAAGAUUUAUCGGUGAUGGAUGGACUCGCGGCCUAUCAGCUUGAUGGUGAGGUAAUGGCUCACCAUGGCGACGACGGGUAGCCGGCCUGAGAGGGUGACCGGCCACACUGGGACUGAGACACGGCCCAGACUCCUACGGGAGGCAGCAGUGGGGAAUAUUGCACAAUGGGCGCAAGCCUGAUGCAGCAACGCCGCGUGAGGGAUGACGGCCUUCGGGUUGUAAACCUCUUUUGUCAGGGAAGAAGCGCAAGUGACGGUACCUGGAGAAAAAGCACCGGCUAACUACGUGCCAGCAGCCGCGGUAAUACGUAGGGUGCAAGCGUUGUCCGGAAUUAUUGGGCGUAAAGAGCUCGUAGGCGGCUUGUCGCGUCUGCUGUGAAAACCCGAGGCUCAACCUCGGGCCUGCAGUGGGUACGGGCAGGCUAGAGUGCGGUAGGGGAGAUUGGAAUUCCUGGUGUAGCGGUGGAAUGUGCAGAUAUCAGGAGGAACACCGAUGGCGAAGGCAGAUCUCUGGGCCGUAACUGACGCUGAGGAGCGAAAGCAUGGGGAGCGAACAGGAUUAGAUACCCUGGUAGUCCAUGCCGUAAACGUUGGGAACUAGAUGUAGGGCCUGUUCCACGGGUUCUGUGUCGUAGCUAACGCAUUAAGUUCCCCGCCUGGGGAGUACGGCCGCAAGGCUAAAACUCAAAGGAAUUGACGGGGGCCCGCACAAGCGGCGGAGCAUGCGGAUUAAUUCGAUGCAACGCGAAGAACCUUACCAAGGCUUGACAUAUACGAGAACGGGUCAGAAAUGAUCAACUCUUUGGACACUCGUAUACAGGUGGUGCAUGGUUGUCGUCAGCUCGUGUCGUGAGAUGUUCGGUUAAGUCCGGCAACGAGCGCAACCCUCGUCCUAUGUUGCCAGCACGUGAUGGUGGGAACUCAUGGGAUACUGCCGUGGUCAACACGGAGGAAGGUGGGGAUGACGUCAAAUCAUCAUGCCCCUUAUGUCUUGGGCUUCACGCAUGCUACAAUGGCCGGUACAAUGGGCAGCGAUACCGUGAGGUGGAGCGAAUCCCAAAAAGCCGGUCUCAGUUCGGAUUGGGGUCUGCAACUCGACCCCAUGAAGUCGGAGUCGCUAGUAAUCGCAGAUCAGCAACGCUGCGGUGAAUACGUUCCCGGGCCUUGUACAC